rnacentral:rRNA from 1 species
UAGCUAGUAGGUGGGGUAACGGCUCACCUAGGCGACGAUCCCUAGCUGGUCUGAGAGGAUGACCAGCCACACUGGAACUGAGACACGGUCCAGACUCCUACGGGAGGCAGCAGUGGGGAAUAUUGCACAAUGGGCGCAAGCCUGAUGCAGCCAUGCCGCGUGUAUGAAGAAGGCCUUCGGGUUGUAAAGUACUUUCAGCGGGGAGGAAGGCGAUAAGGUUAAUAACCUUGUCGAUGACGUACCCGCAGAAGAAGC